CUACGUGCCAGCAGCCGCGGUAAUACGUAGGUGGCAAGCGUUGUCCGGAAUUAUUGGGCGUAAAGCGCGCGCAGGCGGAUCAGUCAGUCUGUCUUAAAAGUUCGGGGCUUAACCCCGUGAUGGGAUGGAAACUGCUGAUCUAGAGUAUCGGAGAGGAAAGUGGAAUUCCUAGUGUAGCGGAGAAAUGCGUAGAUAUUAGGAAGAACACCAGUGGCGAAGGCGACUUUCUGGACGAAAACUGACGCUGAGGCGCGAAAGCCAGGGGAGCGAACGGGAUUAGAUACCCCGGUAGUCCUGGCCGUAAACGAUGGGUACUAGGUGUAGGAGGUAUCGACCCCUUCUGUGCCGGAGUUAACGCAAUAAGUACCCCGCCUGGGGAGUACGACCGCAAGGUUGAAACUCAAAGGAAUUGACGGGGGCCCGCACAAGCGGUGGAGUAUGUGGUUUAAUUCGACGCAACGCGAAGAACCUUACCAGGUCUUGACAU
rnacentral:rRNA from 1 species